rnacentral:rRNA from 1 species
CGGAGGAAAAGAAACCAACAGGGAUUGCCUCAGUAACGGCGAGUGAAGCGGCAAAAGCUCAAAUUUGAAAUCUAGCACCUUCGGUGUUUGAGUUGUAAUUUGAAGAUGGUAACCUUGGGUUUGGCUCUUGUCUAUGUUCCUUGGAACAGGACGUCAUAGAGGGUGAGAAUCCCGUCUGAUGAGAUGCCCAUUCCUAUGUAAGGUGCUAUCGAAGAGUCGAGUUGUUUGGGAAUGCAGCUCUAAGUGGGUGGUAAAUUCCAUCUAAAGCUAAAUAUUGGCGAGAGACCGAUAGCGAACAAGUACAGUGAUGGAAAGAUGAAAAGAACUUUGAAAAGAGAGUGAAAAAGUACGUGAAAUUGUUGAAAGGGAAGGGCAUUAGAUCAGACUUGGUGUUUUACGAUUAUCUUCUCUUCUUGAGUUGUGCACUCGUAUUUCACUGGGCCAGCAUCGAUUCGGAUGGCAAGAUAAUGGCAGUUGAAUGUGGCUUCACUUCGGUGGAGUGUUAUAGCUUCUGCUGAUAUUGCCUGUCUGGAUCGAGGGCUGCGUCUUUUGACUAGGAUGCUGGCGUAAUGAUCUAAUGCCGCCCGUCUUG